rnacentral:rRNA from 1 species
UACGUAGGGUGCAAGCGUUAAUCGGAAUUACUGGGCGUAAAGCGUGCGCAGGCGGUUGUGCAAGUCCGAUGUGAAAUCCCCGGGCUUAACCUGGGAAUGGCAUUGGUGACUGCACGGCUAGAGUGUGUCAGAGGGGGGUAGAAUUCCACGUGUAGCAGUGAAAUGCGUAGAGAUGUGGAGGAACACCGAUGGCGAAGGCAGCCCCCUGGGUCAAGAUUGACGCUCAUGCACGAAAGCGUGGGGAGCAAACAGG